ACCCCCUUAAUAUGGACGAUGAAGUAUUAAUCAGAAUUCAGAGGCAAAAAUCUGCUGCUUGGAUACCAUUCUGCUUUCGUGAACAGUAGCUAGAUUGGUGAAAACAUUCGAGUCUCGGGAUUUUAGAAGGGUGUGAGAACUGGGAAGUUACAGGUAGUGUAGAGUGCGUUCAUGGGAAGGACUUGUACUCUUCCCAUAACUGUUUUCUUAAGUAAGCUUUGUGAAGCAGUAUUGUACUUAAAAUAGAUUACUACUGUAUGCUCAGUAGUUUGAAAUCAUAAGCCGUGAUUCUAUU